GACGAACGCUGGCGGCGUGCUUAACACAUGCAAGUCGAACGGUGAAGGGACUGGUUUUGCUGGUCCUGGAUGAGUGGCGAACGGGUGAGUAACACGUGAGUAACCUGCCCCCUUCUUCUGGAUAACCGCAUGAAAGUGUGGCUAAUACGGGAUAUUCUGGGUCUGUCGCAUGGUGGGCCUGGGAAAGAUUGCGCCUUUUUUGGUGUUUUUGGUGGGGGAGGGGCUCGCGGCCUAUCAGCUUGUUGGUGGGGUGAUGGCCUACCAAGGCGGUGACGGGUAGCCGGCCUGAGAGGGUGGACGGUCACACUGGGACUGAGACACGGCCCAGACUCCUACGGGAGGCAGCAGUGGGGAAUAUUGCACAAUGGGCGCAAGCCUGAUGCAGCGACGCCGCGUGAGGGAUGGAGGCCUUCGGGUUGUGAACCUCUUUCGCCAGUGAAGCAGGCCUGCCUCUUUUUGUGGGUGGGUUGACGGUAGCUGGAUAAGAAGCGCCGGCUAACUACGUG
rnacentral:rRNA from 1 species